rnacentral:rRNA from 1 species
AGUGAACGCUGGCGGUAGGCCUAACACAUGCAAGUCGAACGGCAGCACAGUAAGAGCUUGCUCUUACGGGUGGCGAGUGGCGGACGGGUGAGGAAUACAUCGGAAUCUACUUUUUCGUGGGGGAUAACGUAGGGAAACUUACGCUAAUACCGCAUACGACCUACGGGUGAAAGCAGGGGAUCUUCGGACCUUGCGCGAUUGAAUGAGCCGAUGUCGGAUUAGCUAGUUGGCGGGGUAAAGGCCCACCAAGGCUAUGAUCGGUAGCUGGUCUGAGAGGAUGACCGGCCACAUGGGGACUGAGGUACGGCCCAGACUGCUACGGGAGGCAGCAGUGGGGAAUAUUGCACAAUGGGCGGGAGCCUGAGGCAGCAGCGCCGCGUGCGGGAUGACGGCCUUCGGGUUGUAAACCGCUUUCGCCUGUGACGAAGCGUGAGUGACGGUAAUGGGUAAAGAAGCACCGGCUAACUACGUG